GAAUCAGGGGGUGGGAAACUCGGCUCACUUGAAAUUGUGCCGAAAUGUGCCGGCUGUGCGAGAGUGAGCGAUCAAAUUCAUAUGUCACAUUUUUCUGGUUGCACUGCAAAAACUGGCAACUGUGAUCGUUUCACGACAGAUUGUUUUUGUUUAUUUAUGAAAACUUUUAAAGCACCAACUGCAGUCUGAACAACUUAUAACUCGACAGAAGCCGUUAUUAAAUUUUCUGAACAUAUUUUCGUCCUAUGGUAGAGGAGCCGAGUGGAUGCCCACCAGGGCAACGGAUGUUCAAGGGAUAAUUGCUGAUUGCUGAUGAAGAGACGAGGAAGUUGGGAACCUUAUUGAGAAUCAAUCUGCCCCUGUUUGUAUGAACUUCGAUCAAACUCUACAAUGUCACCGGAAUCUACAAUGCCGCCGGAAUGGAUGACCUGGCAAGGAUACCGGAUAUUACCAGUCACGGAGUGAUCGAGAGAGGCGAGAUCCUGGGUGAUAUAGUUUACGAGAUGGUACAGUGGCCCAGCCAUAUUCGUACAGGGCGUUGUUUUCACAUCAAUACUCACGAAUAUCGCUAUUACAAUGGAUCCAUCAGCAAAUAUGUAAGUCAUGCUGCUCAGUGGAGGUUUACAUGCCAAAGACUUGCUACAUGUGA